GACGAACCGUGCGAACGUUGUUCGGAAUCACUGGGCGUAAAGCGCACGUAGGCGGCUUCUUAAGUCAGGGGUGAAAUCCUGGAGCUCAACUCCAGAACUGCCUUUGAUACUGAGGAGCUUGAGUCCGGGAGAGGUGAGUGGAACUGCGAGUGUAGAGGUGAAAUUCGUAGAUAUUGCAAGAACACCAGUGGCGAAGGCGGCUCACUGGCCCGGUACUGACGCUGAGGUGCGAAAGCGUGGGGAGCAAACAGG
rnacentral:rRNA from 1 species